rnacentral:tRNA from 3 species
GGGGCCAUGGUAUAACUUGGCAGAACAGCAGGCUCCAGACCUGCGGAUCGGGGUUCGAAUCCCCGUGGCCCCA